rnacentral:rRNA from 1 species
AGUGAACGCUGGCGGCAGGCCUAACACAUGCAAGUCGAGCGGCAGCGCGGGGGCAACCCUGGCGGCGAGCGGCGGACGGGUGAGGAAUUCGUCGGAAUCUGCCUUUUUGUGGGGGAUAACGUAGGGAAACUUACGCUAAUACCGCAUACGUCCUACGGGAGAAAGUGGGGGACCGCAAGGCCUCACGCAGAAAGAUGAGCCGACGACCGAUUAGCUAGUUGGUGGGGUAAAGGCCCACCAAGGCGACGAUCGGUAGCUGGUCUGAGAGGAUGAUCAGCCACACUGGGAGUGAGACACGCCCCAGACUCCUACGGGAGGCAGCAGUGGGGAAUAUUGGACAAUGGGCGCAAGCCUGAUCCAGCCAUGCCGCGUGUGUGAAGAAGGCCUUCGGGUUGUAAAGCACUUUUGUCCGGAAAGAAAUCCCUGGAGCUAAUACCUUCGGGGGAUGACGGUACCGGAAGAAUAAGCACCGGCUAACUUCGUG